rnacentral:misc_RNA from 1 species
GAUGAAGAACGCAGCGAAAUGCGAUACGUAAUGUGAAUUGCAGAUCUCUCAGUGAACCAUCGAAUUUUUGAACGCACAUAGCGCCCGCCGGUCAUUCCGGCGGGCAUGCCUGUCCGAGCGUCGAUGACGCCGCUCGAGCCCCCGUGCUCGGUGUUGGGGCGCUAGGUCUCCCAGAGGCCUAGGCCCCCAAGUAGCAGUGCGCGGUCCGGCUGCGGGCCCCGGGUACAGUAACUUCACUGUUGAGAUGCCCUGGGAGCCGCUGGCUGGGUCAGCCAUAAAACCCCCGACAUAGGCCUUCCUGUCCGCCCCCGGCGGGGAGGGAGACCGCCUAAUGUUGACCUCGGAUCAGGUAGGACUACCCGCUGAACUUAAGCAUAUCAAUAAGCGGAGGA